AAGCGGAGGAAAGGAAACCAACCGGGAUUGCCUUAGUAACGGCGAGUGAAGCGGCAAAAGCUCAAAUUUGAAAUCUGGUACCUUCGGUGCCCGAGUUGUAAUUUGGAGAGGGCAACUUUGGGGCCGUUCCUUGUCUAUGUUCCUUGGAACAGGACGUCAUAGAGGGUGAGAAUCCCGUGUGGCGAGGAGUGCGGUUCUUUGUAAAGUGCCUUCGAAGAGUCGAGUUGUUUGGGAAUGCAGCUCUAAGUGGGUGGUAAAUUCCAUCUAAAGCUAAAUAUUGGCGAGAGACCGAUAGCGAACAAGUACAGUGAUGGAAAGAUGAAAAGAACUUUGAAAAGAGAGUGAAAAAGUACGUGAAAUUGUUGAAAGGGAAGGGCAUUUGAUCAGACAUGGUGUUUUGUGCCCUCUGCUCCUUGUGGGUAGGGGAAUCUCGCAUUUCACUGGGCCAGCAUCAGUUUUGGUGGCAGGAUAAAUCCAUAGGAAUGUAGCUUGCCUCGGUAAGUAUUAUAGCCUGUGGGAAUACUGCCAGCUGGGACUGAGGACUGCGACGUAAGUCAAGGAUGCUGGCAUAAUGGUUAUAUGCCGCCCGUCUUGAAAC
rnacentral:rRNA from 1 species